AGAGAUGGUGGUGUCCCUCAGUUACGGAGUCGUCUUUUUCGGGGCCAGCAUAUUCUUCGCGGCGCUCCUCUUCUCCAUCCUGGCGACCGACAACCAGAAGGGCAUGACGAUAAUGACGCACGCAUGUAAGACGCGGCCCAUCUUCCUCCUGAUCUUCCUGGGCCUGUUCAACGCCGAGCUGCGUGGCCUGAUCCACGUCAAGUACGAGAGGUCCACCGUCGUGACCUCGAUGCCAAUGACGAUGCCCCCACCGGGCCCAGUAUUGCUACAAUCGUACAAACUGCUGGCCGCUCACAAGCCAGCUGCCCAG
rnacentral:lncRNA from 1 species